rnacentral:lncRNA from 1 species
AAAUAGAUAUUGCUUUUCAUAAGUAGCUUAUUGAAUAAACUGCCACAUAUUUUAAAAAUUUUUAUUAUAACCCUGUAUUUUAAUAAAAAGACAAUUGUAUCUUACUUAUCAAUAAACCCUUAUAUAUAAACCAUCAGAUAUCAUAUUACCACCAUAAACACGUACUACUUUUUUAAUCAAUAGUUUAUUUCAUUUGCACAACACAAACAACUUAUUUCAUCAGCCUCCGCAAUUCCAAAAUGAUCCUAUAUCUAAUAUGAAUUAGAGAAUACAAUUUCCUUUUUUCAUGAAUUAAACUUGCAAGAGAGAACUUUCUUUAACAAUUUUCGCAUAACUAGCCUAUACAAAGAAUCUAAGAUGAUUUACUCAUGGUUAAAUGAGUUAUACCAAAACCCAGUUUAAUUUAAUUAAUAUUUGUAUGGUUAUAUUUUAUUAUUGGUUACUACUUACCAUGAAUGUCAUGUCACGUCACCCCAAAGUCCGAUACCCGCCCUCAAUUCGACUUGUUGUCAAUGGGCUACAAGCUCAGGUGACCAUUUCAUUGCAAGUUACUUCAAGUUCAAGAUUGAAGUCCUGUUUGGGAUUGAAGCAUAAAUUAUAGCUAUUGUGAAAAUAAAAUUAUAAUUAUCAAAUAAAAAUUAAUAAUAUAUAGUAAAUAUAAAUUUUAAAAAAAUAAUUUUGAUAAAAUUAUUAAAGAUAUAAUAGAUUUUUCAUUAUACAAGUGAAAAAUCAUAACAAUAUAGUUUAUUAAUUACAUCAAUUAGUGUUUACUAAAUACUUUAAUAUUGUAACUUAAAAAUUAUAUCUGUUCAAACUCAAUCUCAAAUGCAUCAUCAAUCGUGAAUAAUUGUACCUUAAAUUAGUUUAUUAAUUACAUCAAUUAGUGUUUAUUAAAUAUUUUAAUAUUAUAACUUAAAAAUUAUAUCUGUUCAAACUCAAUCUCAAAUGCAUCAUAAAUUGUGAAUAAUUAUACCAAAAGCGUAUGUAUAUAAAUAAUAGUGUUUUAAUAUAAUAAUGUUUUCUUGCAAAUGGUAGUUCACUGAACACUUGGUGCCUUUGGUGGGUUGUCGAUAGAGCACCUCGUGAGGUGUAAAGCACUUGGUAAUGAUAUUGAUUUCGGCAAAUAGGAGUUAACUUGCGUUACUCGUAAUAAUUAAACCAGAUUAGGCGUGAUCUCGCAAAACGAUAAUUAAAUUUGGGCGUGGGCUUUAGUGCAAGUUUUUUAGCCACUUUGUAAACCUGGUACUACUUUUUGAUGAUAUAUAGUAACAUAGAUACACUACGCUGUAUGGUAAUAUAGAUACACUGCGCUGUAUGCUAAUACAAAUUCUUCCUUUUAAAAAAAUAAUUAAAAUGAAGAAAUCUUGUGAUUUUGAAAUAGUAAGUACCAAACACAAUUUUUAAUGUUUGAAAAACUAACCUUCUGCGUUUAAAUUAGAAUGUUUGAAAAUUUUCGUUUGAUAAGUCAAAAGGGCUGAUUUUCAACACGGGAUCCCAUGGCAAUUGAAAGAAGACAAUGGUGACGCGUGGCAUGAGGCUGUGAGGCAGGCAUCCAAAGCAGCCUCCGUUGGGAAAGAAUGAUUGACAUCCGUAAUGGACCGUUUUAGUUAGGUCCUCAACUUUUGUAUUUAUUCUAAUUUUGACCAAAAAUAAGGGCAAGCCACUUAAAAUAGUUCAAUUUUAUAGUAAACAAAUUGUGCUAAUAAUAUUUCCACUCACUAUGAUCAUUUUUUUUCUUUUAAAUAUUUUUUUUAAAAAUUAAUUUAUAAGUUUGAAUUGAUAAAUUAAUCAAAAAGAAGAGACUAAGUUACAAUUCUUAUAAAUAUCAUAUACGACAAGAUAAAUUUGUAUGAUCUUAUAUCGAUAGAUUUU